rnacentral:rRNA from 1 species
GUCCACGCCGUAACGAUGAAUGCUAGCUGUUGGCGGUUACUCGUCAGUGGCGCAGCUAACGCUUAAGCAUUCCGCCUGGGAGUACGGUCGCAAGAUUAAACUCAAGGAAUUGACGGGCCCGCACAAGCGGUGGAGCAUGUGGUUCAAUUCGAAGCAACGCGAAGAACCUUACCAGCCCUUGACAUCCCGGUCGCGGGAACGAGAGAUCGAUCCCUUCAGUUCGGCUGGACCGGAGACAGGUGCUGCAUGGCUGUCGU